UACGUAGGUGGCAAGCGUUGUCCGGAUUUACUGGGCGUAAAGGAUGCGUAGGCGGAUGUUUAAGUGAGAUGUGAAAUACCCGAGCUCAACUUGGGUGCUGCAUUUCAAACUGGAUAUCUAGAGUGCAGGAGAGGAAAGCGGAAUUCCUAGUGUAGCGGUGAAAUGCGUAGAGAUUAGGAAGAACACCAGUGGCGAAGGGCGGCUUUC
rnacentral:rRNA from 1 species